GUUGACUAUUAGCACCUGACAGAUGCUCUCAGGUGCUAAUAGCAUGAGAUACGCUAAAUCUGCUGCAUUGGCUACACAGCACAGACUUCUUGCUCCUUCUCCUGUUUCUUUUACUGACCAUUGAUCUUCAGAAAAGUCCAAGGCUGACUCUUUGCUUUCUCACAGGUUUACACACUAUCUGGUGUUGCAAAGGGUGGUUUUCCUACUUCCAGACCAAUCCCCAGACUUUCUGGCACAGAGGCAUCUCGUCCAAGGCUAUCCAAAACACAGGAAAUGAACCCCUGCUGCAGAGGAAGAGCGUACUGAUGCAUCACCUUCACUCCUCCUCCAACAAACUCUUCUGAGACCAGCUCUCACUCAAAGCUGUCCUGGUGAGCACACAGCAGAAAAAUAAAUAUCCUACUGUUGGCCCA
ensembl:lncRNA